rnacentral:rRNA from 1 species
GACGAACGCUGGCGGCGUGCUUAACACAUGCAAGUCGAACGGUGAAGCGCCUUCCUUUUUGGUGGGUGUGGAUGAGUGGCGAACGGGUGAGUAACACGUGAGUAACCUGCCCCCUUCUUCUGGAUAACCGCAUGAAAGUGUGGCUAAUACGGGAUAUUCUGGGUCUGUCGCAUGAUGGGUCUGGGAAAGAUAUUGUUUCGGUGGGGGAUGGGCUCGCGGCCUAUCAGCUUGUUGGUGGGGUGAUGGCCUACCAAGGCGGUGACGGGUAGCCGGCCUGAGAGGGUGGACGGUCACACUGGGAAUGAGACACGGCACAGACUCCUACGGGAGGCAGCAGGGGGGAAUAUUGCACAAUGGGCGCAAGCCUGAUGCAGCGACGCCGCGUGAGGGAUGGAGGCCUUCGGGUUGUGAACCUCUUUCGCCAGUGAAGCAGGCCUGCCUCGUUUGUGGGUGGGUUGACGGUAGCUGGAUAAGAAGCGCCGGCUAACUACGUG